rnacentral:rRNA from 1 species
UACAGAGGGUGCAAGCGUUGUUCGGAAUUAUUGGGCGUAAAGAGCUCGUAGGCGGCCUGUUGCGUCCGCUGUGAAAUCCCGGGGCUCAACCCCGGGCCUGCAGUGGAUACGGGCUGGCUGGAGGCAGGCAGGGGAGAACGGAAUUCCUGGUGUAGCGGUGAAAUGCGCAGAUAUCAGGAGGAACACCGGUGGCGAAGGCGGUUCUCUGGGCCUGUUCUGACGCUGAGGAGCGAAAGCGUGGGGAGCGAACAGG